rnacentral:tRNA from 1 species
UGUAAUGUGGGGCUCAGCGGUAGAGCACUUGCCUAGCAUGUGUGAGGCCCUGGGUUCGAUCCUCAGCACCACAU